ACAAGGUAUAGCCAAGAACAAACCCUGUUCAUUUUCCCUUUUAGAGGGUCCAUGGUGGAAUUUCACUGUUUCAGAAAUCACUUUUCCAAAGGACUCUGGAAGAAGAAAGCAAUGUCUGUCGUUCUUACGACCACUGCCAUGAUGAGAAUAUGCACAUAGGAGGGGUUCUAAGGAGCACCCACACCUGCCGCAGAGCAAGAGGUGGUCCCAGACCCGCAGCCCUGUCCCCAUCGCUCACUCAGCUGGCAGUACCUAAGGGGAAUAAACACCACAUCAUCUAAGAACCCUGUGGGGACUAACCGUUCUACAGCUCUAGGUCUGAGUUUUCGGAGGGCUACAGCUCCCAUGAUCCCCAAGAAGAACUGGACCAGAGCUUUGACUGUGAUGCACUUUGGGAAGAGGAGGAAGUAUACAAAAAAAAAAAAUCCCCUUGCUUAAGCAAGAGAAGUAACAUUUGAAAGUAAGUAGCGAAUCCUAAAUAUGGAGUAGUAAACUCAGCUGGAAAAUUUAGGUGGAAAUCUGUGAUGGUAAUGCAAGAGAGGUCCAAACAGCUGAGAGAGGCAGCUAAGGAACUCCAGGGAAACUCUUAUCUGUCAAAUAGAAGAGCUAUUAACCAGGAGUUUAUAAAUGUUUAAGGCAGGAUGGCUGAUGAGUUAGAAGAAUGAGAGUUCUAAGGAAGAAAUUUCGAUUCUAGUGAAGGCCCGAUACUGUGCUUGCUUCUGUGCACAGUGUGUGCCUGUUGAUCUUUAGAGGCACA